rnacentral:rRNA from 1 species
GAUCAUGGCUCAGGACGAACGCUGGCGGCGUGCCUAACACAUGCAAGUCGAACGGAGUUAAGCUCUUCGGAACUUGACUUAGUGGCGAACGGGUGAGUAACGCGUGAGGAACCUGCCUUUCAGUGGGGGACAACAGUUGGAAACGACUGCUAAUACCGCAUGACACUUUUGAGGGACAUCCCUUAAAAGUCAAAGCUUUAUGUGCUGAAAGAUGGCCUCGCGUCUGAUUAGCUGGUUGGUGAGG